rnacentral:sRNA from 1 species
UUGCCAAGAACGCGGUGGAAUUAGCUCGGACGCUCGAGAAGCUUUGAUGAAUUUCAUCCAAACUCCAAACAUCAAAUUUGUGCGAAUUUUGAUUCGGCGCCUCUUCGAAUCGGUGUUGGGCUCGGUGUACAAAGGUAGAAACAGCAAAGGUGAACCUUUUUUUGGGGUCUACUCUUCUCUUCUUUUUGGUUGGGUUCAUUUCCCUUCUCUUUUCAUGUGGUAGCAGCGUCGAAAGGAAGAAGAAGAAGAAGAAAAAAAAAUAAGUAGAAUUUAGUUCCUUUUUUUUUUGUUCAUAUGCUUAGAAAAACAUGGUCCUCUCAUCAUUUCACCCAGACCUUCUGUGGUGUUCUGUUCUGGAUUGAAUUCUGAAUCCCAAAAUCAUCCAAUCUGAAAUGUCGUAUGAUAUAUGAUACAUCUCAUGAUCAAGUGAUC